CAUGACAACAGAACCCACAACAACCAUGACUUUUAUCACCAUCUUUAUCUGGAUAUUUGCCCUCUGGUUUCAAGAGUCCAGAGGCCAGGUCACUGUGACUCAGACACCUGCAGUGAAAACUGUUUCAGUGGGUCACUCAGUCAGUCUCAGCUGUAAGACCAGCAGUGCUGUAUACAGUGACAGCAAUGGACAGAGGUUGGCCUGGUAUCAACAGAAACCUGGAGGAGCUCCUAAACUCCUAAUAUACAGGGAUAAAACCCUUCAGUCUGGAACUCCAUCUAGAUUCAGUGGUAGUGGAUCUGUGAGUGACUUCACUCUGACCAUCAGUGGAGUCCAGGCUGAAGAUGCAGGAGAUUACUACUGUCAGAGUGAACACUACAUCAAUAGUAAAGAUGUGUUCACACAGUGAUACAGAGUCGUACAAAAACCUCCCUCAGUCAGACUGCACAGUGACUGUACUGCUACAGCUGGGACCUACUGCAGGUGCUGAGGGGAGGAGAUGAUCCAGUACAAUGACACAGUGUGUAGUAGAGCUGAACAACAAUAGAGUCAAACUAGAGCUAUGUCUAGAAGACCUUAGAUCAUAACUGGUCACUAAAUGUUUCUCCUGACCAUUAACUACAUGUUGACUCU